rnacentral:lncRNA from 1 species
UUUUCUAAUAUCUAGUAAACUGGGUACAAAAGAUGGAGGUAAGAAGCCCAUGUUCUCUCAGAUCGAGUAUAUCCCUGUCCUGAAUGGUGUAUCCAAGGUUCCCCAUGUCAUGUUUAAGUACAAAUCACUUGUUUAUUGUGACAUGGACCACUGAUAUCUGAAAUAUAUGAAAAGACCCAUCAGGGCCCAGGAAAAAUAUGCCCUCCUAAAAGUAAAAGAAUGUCCCUGCUAUUUAAAAGAAGAUUGGCACUAAUAAGAGGCUAAGGAGAAGCAAAAUAAGCAAAGUAAAUGUCUAAAAAAUAAGAGCAGAGCAUCUUCGACAUUACCUAGAUACAUUCAGAAAAUCAAAAGCACCUGAACUAACAACUAAAACAGUGCCCUGAAAUAGAAUCCCAGACAUGAAGCUAUAAGCAUAAAUAACAACCAAGGCAAAAUCAAAAGAAAUAAAAAUAUGUGCAUCACAAAAUACUAUUAGGAGAUCAGGUCUACUGUACAAAUAUGAGGCAGCUGCCAUACGAUCUCUAGAUGCGAAAGAGUUGCAUUCAUAACUAUAUAUACAUUAGCAAGAUAAAUCACUCUACCGAUUUGUAAGCGGCAAACCAGCUCAAAUGUAGUCAUCAUCAGUAACUCUUGCUUCGAUAAUAACAGCCAACCACCAUGUAUAUCCAUCCAUGAUACAUAAAGGGGGAGAAGUAAAUUACGUUGAAUGAGAAUUAAUUAAUUGCCACGCGGCUGCAGCUGCCAAACAUGCCACGGUUAAAUACAUGGAUUUUGUCAGGGAUCUGGGUACAUGAAAAUAGACAAAGUAACACAUCAAUUAGAAGGAGCCAAAACAAGCAGAGGUGGUCAGUGAGAAUACCCGCAGGCGCCCCAACAGGCUAUAGACACCAUGUCACCAUGUUGUGCAUAAAUAGUUAGACACCGUGACAUGGUGCCUAACAUGAGCCGAGACAGGCCGGCGAAACUGUAACAUGACGUGCAACAUGUAAGAAAGUAAGCAUCCAGGAAAGAUAGGCUGGCAGGCCAAGCAACUAAAUUAGAACACAUACACCCAUUUCUUGCACAGAGCAGUGCUUGUAAUCCCUUUAUUUUUUUUCAUUAACAAAGUGAGAAUGUAGGGUUAUUUUUUCAUUAACAAAUGUGAGAAUAGAAGGCGGAGAAGGAUGAGGAAGCAACGAUAGAAAGCUCUAUUACUUCACACGGCCAUUCGAACUAAUCACCAGGAGACAAAAGAACAUAUUAGGCUCUAGGAAUUGACACAACCUCUAUUGCUUUGUUCAUACACACUCAAUUCUGAAAAAGGAAAACAUAAGCUUCAGGAGCAAACAAAUAGAAUAUGAAAACUGUAUAUAUAUACAGAGAAAACAAAAAUAGGAAUGCAAACUGUCAUAUUACUCCCAGGUGUGAAGAGCCAAAGCUAUUUUCAAGCAGUAUUAUAAGCUAGCUCUAGAUUUUACUCCAUAGUAAACAUAACAGUUUUGUAAGGUAGCUCUAGAUUUUAUACG